rnacentral:rRNA from 1 species
AUUGAACGCUGGCGGCAGGCCUAACACAUGCAAGUCGAACGAGUGGCGGCCGGGUGAGUAAUGUCUGGGAAACUGCCCGAUGGAGGGGGUAACUACUUGAAACGUUUGCUAAUCCCGCCUUCCAUCGGCUGUGCCCAGAUGGGAUUAGCUAGUAGGUGGGGUAACGGCUCACCAAGGCAACGACCCCUAGCUGGUCUGAGAGGAUGCCCACCCAAACUGGAACUGAGACACGGUCCAGAAUCCUACGGGAUGCAGCAGUGGGGAAGAUUCCACAAUGGGCGCAAGCCUGAUGCAGCCAUGCCGCGUGUAUGAAGAAGGCCUUCGGGUUGUAAAGUACUUUCAGCGAGGAGGCGUUACGCGCAGAAGAAGCACCGGCUAACUCCGUGCCAGCAGCCGCGGUAAUAC